GAAUGGGAAGCACGCGUCCCUCAGGUUUUGUCCCUCACGUUUUGUCCCUCACGUUUAAUUUGUCAUGCUUAGCGAUGAAGAGCCGGCAUUGUUGGACGACUUCAUGUGCUUGCAGUGCUUUUGCAUUGUGGGGCGUGGUGCGUUCGGUGAUGUUGGGUCUUGCUGACGCGUUGGCGUGUGAGAUGUGCUUUGGAUAUUUGUGUUUGCCGGCUCUGUGCUUUUGCACUGAACGGUUUGCAUGUAAUCCUUGUCAGUUUUCGUUGUACGCCCUUGGUGUUCGUAUGUGGUUCCUGUUUUGCUUACCUUUAAAACGGUAUCCGUGUGGCUUGUUAGGCUUGAUCCAUCCCCUGCCGUUGCACGGUCUUGUGGUGGCUUUUGUAGUUUUACGUAUGAGCCCUUUCUAGAUGUACUCGUAUGUCUGGGGAGGUGCCCAUGUAUUGACUGAAUCUUCGGACGCGGUGCUUGAGAUGAACUUUUGUGUUUUUCACAUUGUC